rnacentral:rRNA from 1 species
AGAGUGAACGCUGGCGGUAGGCCUAACACAUGCAAGUCGAACGGCAGCACAGUAGGAGCUUGCUCUUACGGGUGGCGAGUGGCGGACGGGUGAGGAAUACAUCGGAAUCUACCUUUUGGUGGGGGAUAACGUAGGGAAACUUACGCUAAUACCGCAUACGCCCUUCGGGGGAAAGCCGGGGACCAGCAAUGGCCUGGCGCUGAUAGAUGAGCCGAUGUCGGAUUAGCUAGUUGGUGAGGUAAUGGCUCACCAAGGCGACGAUCCGUAGCUGGUCUGAGAGAUGAUCAGCCACACUGGAACUGAGACACGGUCCAGACUCUACGGGAGCAGCAGUGGGAA